AACGCGAAGAACCUUACCCAGACUUGACAUACAGUGGAUAGUCGCAGAAAUGUGAUCUUCCUUCGGGACCGCUGAACAGGUGCUGCAUGGCUGUCGUCAGCUCGUGCCGUGAGGUGUUGGGUUAAGUCCCGCAACGAGCGCAACCCUUAUCAUUAGUUGCCAACAUUUAAGGUGGGAACUCUAAUGAGACUGCCUGGGUUAACCAGGAGGAAGGUGAGGAUGACGUCAAGUCCGCAUGGCCCUUAUGUCUGGGGCCACACACGUGCUACAAUGGUCGGUACAGAAGGCAGCGAAGCCGCGAGGCGAAGCAAAUCCCAAAAAGCCGGCCCCAGUUCAGAUUGUAGUCUGCAACUCGACUACAUGAAGUUGGAAUUGCUAGUAAUGGCGAGUCAGCUACAUCGCCGUGAAUACGUUCCCGGGCCUUGUACACACCGUACGUC
rnacentral:rRNA from 1 species